rnacentral:rRNA from 1 species
GACAGAGGUGCCAAGCGUUAGGCGGAAUCACUGGGCUUAAAGCGUGUGUAGGUGGAAGCGUAAGUACCUUGUGAAAUCCCAUGGCUCAACCAUGGAACUGCUUGGUAUACUGCGGAUCUUGAGCCACCUAGGGGCAAGUGGAACAAACGGUGGAGCGGUGAAAUGCGUAGAUAUCGUUUGGAACGCCAAUGGUGAAAACAACUUGCUGGGGGUGUGCUGACGCUGAGACACGAAAGCCAGGGGAGCAAACGGG